AUUGAACGCUGGCGGCAUGCCUUACACAUGCAAGUCGAACGGUAACAGGUCUUCGGAUGCUGACGAGUGGCGAACGGGUGAGUAAUACAUCGGAACGUGCCUAGUAGUGGGGGAUAACUACUCGAAAGAGUGGCUAAUACCGCAUGAGAUCUACGGAUGAAAGCAGGGGAUCGCAAGACCUUGUGCUACUAGAGCGGCCGAUGGCAGAUUAGGUAGUUGGUGGGAUAAAAGCUUACCAAGCCGACGAUCUGUAGCUGGUCUGAGAGGACGAUCAGCCACACUGGGACUGAGACACGACCCAGACUCCGACGGGAGGCAGCAGUGGGGAAUUUUGGACAAUGGGCGCAGGCCUGAUCCAGCAAUGCCGCGUGCAGGAUGAAGGCCUUCGGAUUGUAAACUGCUUUUGUACGGAACGAAAAGCCCUGGGUUAAUACCCUGGGGUCAUGACGGUACCGUAAGAAUAAGCACCGGCUAACUACGUGCCAGCCGCCGGGGUAACAC
rnacentral:rRNA from 1 species